UGGGGAAUUUUGGACAAUGGGCGCAAGCCUGAUCCAGCCAUGCCGCGUGCGGGAAGAAGGCCUUCGGGUUGUAAACCGCUUUGUCAGGGAAGAAAUCUUCUGAGUUAAUACCUCGGGAGGAUGACGGUACCUGAAGAAUAAGCACCGGCUAACUACGUGCCAGCAGCCGCGGUAAUACGUAGGGUGCAAGCGUUAAUCGGAAUUACUGGGCGUAAAGCGUGCGCAGGCGGUUUUGUAAGACAGAGGUGAAAUCCCCGGGCUCAACCUGGGAACUGCCUUUGUGACUGCAAGGCUUGAGUGCGGCAGAGGGGGGAUGGAAUUCCGCGUGUAGCAGUGAAAUGCGUAGAUAUGCGGAGGAACACCGAUGGCGAAGGCAAUCCCCUGGGCCUGCACUGGCGCUCAUGCACGAAAGCGUGGGGAGCAAACAGGAUUAGAUACCCUGGUAGUGCCACGCCCUAAACGAUGUCAACUGGUUGUUGGGAAGGUUCCUUCUCAGU
rnacentral:rRNA from 1 species